rnacentral:rRNA from 1 species
GAUGAACGCUAGCUACAGGCUUAACACAUGCAAGUCGAGGGGAAACGACAGGGAGUGCUUGCACACUCUGGGCGUCGACCGGCGCACGGGUGAGUAACGCGUAUCCAACCUGCCCACCACUUGGGAAUAACCUUGCGAAAGUAAGACUAAUGCCCAAUGACGUUGAAAGAAGACAUCUGAUUUCAACUAAAGAUUUAUCGGUGAUGGAUGGGGAUGCGUCCGAUUAGCUUGUUGGCGGGGUAACGGCCCACCAAGGCAACGAUCAGUAGGGGGUUCUGAGAGGAAGGUCCCCCACAUUGGAACUGAGACACGGUCCAAACUCCUACGGGAGGCAGCAGUGAGGAAUAUUGGUCAAUGGGCGAGAGCCUGAACCAGCCAAGUAGCGUGCAGGACGACGGCCCUAUGGGUUGUAAACUGCUUUUAUAAGGGAAUAAAGUGGGUCUCGUGAGACUUUUUGCAUGUACCUUAUGAAUAAGGACCGGCUAAUUCCGUG